rnacentral:rRNA from 1 species
CCUACGGGUGGCAGCAGUAGGGAAUCUUCCACAAUGGACGAAACUCUGAUGGAGCAACGCCGCGUGAGUGAAGAAGGGUUUCGGCUCGUAAAGCUCUGUUAGUAGGGAAGAAAGAUAGAGGUAGUAACUGGCCUGUAUUUGACGGUAAUUUCUUAGAAAGUCACGGCUAACUACGUGCCAGCAGCCGCGGUAAUACGUAGGUGGCAAGCGUUGUCCGGAUGUAUUGGGCGUAAAGCGAGUGCAGGCGGUUCAAUAAGUCUGAGGUGAAAGGCUUCGGCUCAACAGCCGAAUUGCAUCAGAAACCGUUGAACGUGAGUGCAGAAGAGGAGAGUGGAACUCCAGGUGUAGCGGUGGAAUGCGUAGAUAUAUGGAAGAACACCAGUGGCGAAGGCGGCUCUCUGGUCUGCAACUGACGCUGAGGCUCGAAAGCAUGGGUAGCGAACAGGAUUAGAUACCCCUGUAGUC